rnacentral:rRNA from 1 species
AGAGUUUGAUCAUGGCUCAGAACGAACGCUGGCGGCGUGCUUAACACAUGCAAGUCGAGUGCGCGGUUGUAGCAAUACAACUGGCGCACGGCGCACGGGUGCGUAACACGUGGGUAACCUGCCCUUUGGUGGGGAAUAACUCCGCGAAAGCGGAGCUAAUUCCGCAUAAGAUCCGCAAGGAUGAAAGCCGCAAGGCGCCGAAGGAGGGGCCCGCGCCCGAUUAGCUAGUUGGUAGGGUAACGGCCUACCAAGGCUUUGAUCGGUAGCUGGUCUGAGAGGAUGAUCAGCCACACUGGAACUGAGACACGGUCCAGACUCCUACGGGAGGCAGCAGUGGGGAAUCUUGCACAAUGGGCGAAAGCCUGAUGCAGCGACGCCGCGUGGGGGAUGAAGCAUUUCGGUGUGUAAACCCCUUUCGAUCCGGACGAAACCCCGCAAGGGAUUGACGGUACGGAUAUAAGAAGCCCCGGCUAACUACGUGCCAGCAGCCGCGGUAAGACGUAGGGGGCCAGCGUUGUUCGGAAUUACUGGGUGUAAAGGGUUCGUAGGCGGUGCGGCAAGUUGGGAGUGAAAUCUCUGGGCUUAACCCAGAGGCUGCUUCCAAAACUGCUGUGCUUGAGUGUGGGAGAGGCGCGUGGAAUUGCAGGUGUAGCGGUGAAAUGCGUAGAUAUCUGCAGGAACACCCGUGGCGAAAGCGGCGCGCUGGACCACUACUGACGCUGAGGAACGAAAGCUAGGGGAGCAAACAGGAUUAGAUACCCUAGUAGUCC